GACGGAGGAUGCAAGCGUUAUCCGGAAUUAUUGGGCGUAAAGCGUCCGCAGGUGGCAGUUCAAGUCUGCUGUCAAAGACCGGGGCUUAACUUCGGAAAGGCAGUGGAAACUGAACAGCUAGAGUAUGGUAGGGGCAGAGGGAAUUCCUGGUGUAGCGGUGAAAUGCGUAGAGAUCAGGAGGAACACCGAUGGCGAAGGCAGCUCGCUGGGACGGUACUGACGCUGAGGCGCGAAAGCGUGGGGAGCAAACAGG
rnacentral:rRNA from 1 species